AGAUUGAACGCUGGCGGCAUGCCUAAUACAUGCAAGUCGAACGAACUCUUCGGAGUUAGUGGCGCACGGGUGCGUAACGCGUGGGAAUCUGCCCCUUGGUUCGGAAUAACAGUUGGAAACGACUGCUAAUACCGGAUAUGACCUGCUCUCGCAUGGGGGGUGGGUGGAAAGAUUUAUCGGUGCAGGAUGGGCCCGCGGCCUAUCAGCUUGUUGGUGGGUAAUGGCCUACCAAGGCGACGACGGGUAGCCGACCUGAGAGGGUGACCGGCACACUGGGACUGAGACACGGCCCAGACUCCUACGGGAGGCAGCAGUGGGGAAUAUUGCACAAUGGGCAAAGCCUGAUGCAGCGACGCGCGUGAGGAUGAAGGCCGUUCGGGUUGUAACCUCUUUCAGCGAGGACGAAGCGCGAAGUGACGUACCGUGACAGAAGAAGCGAACCCGGACUAACUACGUGCCAGCACGCCG
rnacentral:rRNA from 1 species